UUCAACUCUUUAUUUUAAAAUAAUUUUGACUUACAGAAAUGUCACAACAAUUAUACAAAAAUAUUUUAAUGUACCCUUCACCCAGAUUCCCCAAAUGUUAACAUUUUACUGGGUUUGAUUUAUCUCUCUCUCUCUCUCAGAUUAGAUAGGUGAUGGACAGAUAGAUGAUAGAUAGGUAGGUAGGUAGAUAGGUAGAUAGAGAUAGACAUAGAUACAUUACGGAUAUAGACAAAUAUCUUGUUUCUUCUGGUCAUUCAAGUCUCAGCUGAGAUGCCACCUCUAAAAAGUCCCCUUUCCUGGCCAUUUAACCCCUGUAGCUGUGGUCCCACUCUCUCAUACUCUUCUAAUUGCAGAUCCCAACAACACUGAUCUCCAGCUGGUGUUUUUCUUGGCUGUUUACUUACUGGUCACCUCUCUGCCUCCCCACUGGGAUGUCAGUUUUAUGGGAGAAUUGUCCCGUGUGCCUUCCCUGUUCACUGUUGAAUCCUCAAAACAUAGAACAAGGCCUGCACAGAAUGGGUGCCUAGUCACUGUUUGCUGAAUCGGUGAAUUGGGGACGUGCCCAUGUGGAGUCCACACAGGCACGUGGCGUAGUCUCUGUGCUCGAGGCGCAGAUGUUCCCCAGUGCCGCAGUAGCUGCAGCAUCCCCUCUCAUCAUGGAAACAUCUGCUGUAUCUUGUUUGAGGAGGGGAUGACUGAAGACACAGCUAGCAUUUUGGUGUAAAGCCUCUGAGAAAGAGAGAGAAAACUAUACAAACAUGCACACACACAGGAAGAGAGAGCAGGGCCAGCUUAGUGGUUUAGGCAUGGCUCCGGACCCCAGCUGCCUUAGUCACAUUCAGGUUCUGCCACUUAGUACUGUGUGACCUUGGGCGAAUUACUUAAACGCUCUGUGUCUCAGGUGCCUUAUGUGUAAUAUAUAGAUAAUAAAAAUAUCUUCUUCAUAGACGUUGCACGAUGAAAUGUAUGACUGUAUUUUAAAUGCUUAGAGCCAUGCCUGGCAUCCAGUAAGUGUUCAGUUAACCUCAGCGGAGUAUGUAAUUAUAUAAUUAAGUAAGAACAGGCAGUACAUGCUGUUUGAUAGCCUUUUUUCAUUUGGCAAAAUAUUCUGAAAAUUCCAUAUCAAUACACAUUCCUUUACCACAUGAUUAUUAAUGGCUAAUAUUUUUCCAUCAUAUAGAUGUACUGUAGCAACACAAGUUUCCUGGCAUACCACCAUUGCUGGAUAUUUGAGUUGCUUCCACUUUUUCUCUAUUACAAACAACAUUACGUUGAACACCCUUGGACAUAUAUCUUUGCACACAUCAGCAACUAUUCCUUCUUAUUGCGUUCCUAGAAGUGGAAUCGUUGGGUCAAAGGCUGUGCAUAUUUUCUGACCCAAGAUACAGAUUCCAAGUCCCUGAGACAGGUUGUCCCAGAAGAGGCGUUUCCUUGGGGAUCAAGUGCAGAGGCCAGGGUGGGUCCUAAUGUCAGCCAUUUCCACACUGCCUUCUCUCCCACGGCCAGCCAGGCUGCAGUCCAUGUGUCCUGAGGCCACCACAGAUUCCAGUUGUCCUGUUUACUAGGCUCUGGGCGGGAAAACAAGCUGGACAUUCUCUUCCAAGGACUGUCAGAGACCUUUGCCUUGAACUUCAUCUAAGAGAAUGAAGACAGCCACAUCCAACCUGCUGCUGUCUCACUGCUGGCCUUCCCUCUGACCUUGACUGUGACCCUGUGACCUUGACGGUGGCACUGUGACCUUAACUGUGACCCUGUGACCUUGACUGUGACACUCAGACCUUGACAGUGACCCUGUGUGGGCAAAGACCUCUGUACCCUUUCCUCUGACCUUGACAGUGAUACUCUGACUUUGACUGUGACCCUGUGACCUUGACUGUGAUGCUCUGACCUUGACUGUGACAUUGUGUGUGCAAAGGCCUCUGUACCCUUUCCUCUGUGCUUGAAAAUGGGGAAUGGCCUAACCUUGGCAAGGCUUCUCCAAGAUGGCAAAAUAAACUAUGGAAGCUGCUGUUUCCAAAAUGGGGGACCAGUAUCCCAUUCCCACAUAGCACCCCCAUCCAGGAGGGUGGAACCUCUGAAAGGGUAAGAGGAAAAGCCGAAAAUUUCACAGAAAGAGCCACGGCUCCAGGGCCACCAGGAAGGCAGCCCAGGGCACGUGUGGAGGGACUGCCACCAUGAACGAAGCAGGCAGGAGCACAUCUAGGUUUUGUCAGACGUGAAUAUAUGCAUUUUGAGGAGCUUUCUUUAAGAAAAGAACAUUACAAAUAUAAAACGCCCACGGCCAAUACAACUUACCCAACAGGGGAUGUGUGAUGGGGGGAGGGGGGAAGAAGGUGGCCAUCGUCACCCACUGAGGUUAAAAAUCUCACACCGUGCCAACUCUUCGAACAGCACCUGACCUGCGGGGGCGUUCCCAGGCCACUCUGGGAAGUGGCUCCAAAGCGUCGCUUGAUUAGCAUCGCCCUGUGAUUGGAACGUCUUGGAGCUGAAGGCCAGAGGCAGACUCUUGUCUAAACACCAUUCCGUAUAAACUCCCGCAUUCGGGGCGACCUCCACCCCACACGCUGAGACGGAAUUUCCUGCCAAAUGCAGGCGGGUGUGGCAAGCCAAAUUUAUUUGAUUUAGAAAUACAAGUAAAUAUGAUACUUCUUGCAGAGAAGUGUCCUAAAACAUCUUACUUAUACCAUACUCAGGGAAUACCUUUAUUUUUAAAAGACAAUCCAGCAACAUAUCCUGAGAAAAUUACUUCUCUUCCUGAGUCUGUUUUCCCAUCUCAGACAUGGGCAUGACAAACCCAGGCCCCGGCUCAGUGUGGGAAUGAAGUGAGCUACCACACAGAAGAUCCUGGCACGGGGACCAUUGUUUCUGUGCGUCUACUGGGUCCAGACCCUUGGGCCAGUGCAGGGAAGACAGAGGUGAUGCACCCCAGACCCUGUCCUCAGGCCUUCACAGUCGAACCUCCCUGAGGUCUACUGAAGAGGUUAGCUGUGCAAAACUGAGCUUUGCAAAGCAGGGAGGGGCCUGGCCUGGUGACUGUCAGCUCACAGACGAGAGAAGCUCACUCAGACUGAGGCCCGCAGGCCCAGGGAGGCCAGCCAGCUUUGGGAGCCGACGUGGCGAGGUGGUCAGCCAGGGGUGGGUCCGAGUGCCAGCCUGCCUUGCUGUGUCUUCUGCGGCAAAUCACUUCCCCUCUGGGAAUCUGAGUUUCCACGAGGAUUUGGGGAGAAGCACUAACUGAGAGAAGUACCCAACACAGAACAGGGGCUCAGUAGAUGGAAACGUUUUCUGUUAUAUCCAUCCCCACCCCGAUUGAGAAUUUGGGGUAAAAUCUGGUUCCCUGGGAAGCCAUUUCUCAAUCCUCUUUCUCUGCAAGAAGCAGACUUCCAAGUCCAAGCAGAGGGCUUGAGAGACUUCCCCCUUCUACUUAAUUCUACCGAAUUCUAUUUAAAUGAAGCAUCCUCCUUCAAGCAGGAAACUCAAACCACUUCCUCCUGCUAGAGUUCUUUGCAAUGUCCCCUUUUCUUAACAUCUGGCCAGAUGCCCAACUGCAAGGAGCCUGAAGCCUUUGGUUUGGGGACGGCUCUGUGGCACUUUUCCCUGGUUCCUGAGCUGACUCGGGCCAGCGGGUCUGGCCUGAGAAGCCCAAGUCUGCAACCCAGAGCUCCUGCCAUGGCACUCCCGAGGCUUUCUUCUCAUUGGCAUCCUCCAGUCUGCCAGGCAGCCUGCUGCCAAGAUGGCAAGCCACACUCCAGGGACUUUUGUCACUCCCAGUAUCUUGUCCCUGGAUGCCUUUCUCCACUCCACCAGCCAUGUCUUUGCUGCAGCUCAUUCUCAUGAGGACGAGGGACAUCCUGAGAUCACAGAUUGGGCACUGGACCGAGAGUGGGGAGACCUCGGCUCUGCCAGCAACACAUGCAGCUGGGAUGUCACUAAGCUCCCACUUUCUCAGAUGCAGAAUAAUGGGGGCUGACCCAGAUCAGCCCGAGGGGUCUCCUAAACAGCAGUCCAUGCACCCCCUCAUCCUACACUCUUUCUGUGAAGGUCCCAGCGCCCUGUUCAUUUGAGCAAAAAGUUUAAAAUUCAGGACUCCUCUUGAGUACCAGCUGCAGACUGGGCCCUAUGUCAGGGCCUAAAGAUCUUUAAAUGAACAACAACGCCCUGCUCUGAAGGAGUUCCCAGAUGAGAAACAGGGACAUGUAAAGAUGACAAGAAAGGGGCUGAUGCUAGAAACGAGCACAGAGCCGACAGCCACUGCCCCCUUAGAGCCUCGUCCCAGAGGAGCAACCACACUGAGUCCUGAGGAUGAAGUUGGAGAGCCCUGAGUUCAGAGGAGGUGAGGGAAGGAGAGUCUAAGAAGAAGGAACGGCAUGCGCAAAGCCAGGUCAGAGGUUUGGAAUUAAUCCCACGUGGCCACUGUGCCAUGGUCAUACCACAAGCAGCAGAAGGGUCCAGCAAAGAGGAUGGGACAUGUGCUGGAGGUCCUGGGCCUCAGCCCUCCCCAUGCAGAAGGAGACCCAUCUGUCUGAUGGCGGCUCGUGGAGGUUUCCAGGGCAAUCUGAUGUGGAGGCACUCACCAAACCCAGGAAGCAGGAGCGACUUCCGGGCACCAGCUCCCAGCCCAGCGCCAGCCCGGGGCUCUAGGCGUUUCCCUGCAGAGUCUCCGACUGAGACUUGAAGAAAACAGUCUUAAAAGUCAGACAAAUAUUUAGAGUUUUACAAACUCAGUCUACAAAUCGGGAGGAAUUGGGAAACUCGCUUGUCAGAUGUGCGGUCUGUUCUCUACAAUCCAAAGCGGGCUUGGUUUCCGGGAGGGCGAUGACACUCCUGCCUGCUCACUGCUACGGUGGGACCACGUCUGAAGAGGCGGUGUUUCACGUUAAGGCGACGGAAUUUAAUGAAACAAAGGAGAAAAAGUGGCAUCAAUUUGGUGUUAGGUAUAACGUCACGUAGGGGGAAGAGGCUGAGCGAGAUUGGAGCCCUGACCUGACUCCAGCUAUGAAGCUGGAAUCACUGAGGCCCUCUGAGAAUCUUUCCAAGACUUGGACUCUGAUCCAGAGACUGUACGCGCUAUUCAGUCUUGCUUUCUGGGGAAGGCAUCCCAUCCCCUUGCCUACUCCUUUUCUGCAGCUUGAGUUGUAAGUAAUCUCUCUUUUCCUCCAGUGUCCAUCUCAUGGGUUUUGGCCCAGCUAUGAAGACCCUCUGGCAAAAGGAAAACAGCAUAGAUUGGCAAGCAAGUGACAGAAGUGGCCCGAGGCAAUCCUCCGCUUCAUCCUCUUGCCCCUGGAGGCAGAUCAGGCUAAACACAGAAGCAGGGCUUCAAAGGAGGGGCCUGGAUCCUCCCCACAGUGACUCACUGGGCUCCAGAGGAAGCCGGGGUCUCCCGGGAUCAGUAGUCGGCCUUGAGGUGGUUCUCUGGAAGCCCUCUCCCACGGCGAUGAGAGCAAAGAGAGGCCGUGUGGUCUCAGGGAGAGACCCCGCGUGUAGCACAGCCUCUAAUUCUCUGCGUGACCUCGGGCAAGC
ensembl:lncRNA